rnacentral:rRNA from 1 species
UACAGAGGUCUCAAGCGUUGUUCGGAUUCAUUGGGCGUAAAGGGUGCGUAGGCGGCGCGGUAAGUCGGGUGUGAAAAUUUCGGAGCUUAACUCCGAAACUGCAUUCGAUACUGCGGUGCUUGAGGACUGGAGAGGAGACUGGAAAUUCAUGGUGUAGCAGUGAAAUGCGUAGAGAUCAUGAGGAAGACCAGUGGCGAAGACGGGUCUCUGGACAGUUCCUGACACUGAGACACGAAGGCCAGGGGAGCAAACGGG